UACGGAGGAUGCGAGCGUUAUCCGGAUUUAUUGGGUUUAAAGGGUGCGUAGGCGGGAUGUAUAAGUCAGUGGUGAAAUACUGUGGCUCAACCAUAGAAUUGCCAUUGAAACUGUCAUUCUUGAGUUCAGAUGAUGUGGGCGGAAUGUGUAAUGUAGCGGUGAAAUGCAUAGAUAUUACACAGAACACCGAUUGCGAAGGCAGCUCACAAAACUGUAACUGACGCUGAAGCACGAAAGCGUGGGUAUCGAACAGG
rnacentral:rRNA from 1 species